GGAAGCCGACCACGGUCCCCACGAGACCUCCCAUGGCACGCCCUCGGAAGCUGGGGAGCUCCAGAGCGAACUUACUGCACAGCGGAGCCGCCCUUGGCCCUGAGAUGAGGCUGCGGUUAGAACCUGGAGAAGAGCGCCAAGCCGGCGUUUGGAGGCUGCCUGGUGCACCUGCAGCCCAGUGCCUUGGCCUCUCGGAAGCGUCUUCAGGCCUGUAAGGACAGAUCUCUUCCCAGCUCACCCCUGCCUCCUGCCCUGACCAUGCGUACCCAUUCCCACCUCCCUGCCUUUACUUUCGCUCUUCUGCCUGCCUGCCCAGGAGGCCACUAAACAUCUGCCACACCUGCCUUCCCACCAGGCAUCCAGCCCUUCUGACUGCAGCCCAGCUCUCCUUUGGGGAACCACCCCCUCACUCCCCCCCACCCCCACCCCAUAAGCAGCCCAUUUAUCUUGUUCCCCCAGGGCUCCAGGCUUGUCUUUUUUUUUUCUUCUUCUUUUAACUAUGAAAUAAUUGUAGAUUCAAAGAAAGCUAAGAACUUUUUAAGAGCUUGGAAAAUAUUGGAGACCUGAAGAAAAAAAUCCACUG
rnacentral:lncRNA from 1 species